UGGAGUGGGAAGUAGCGCUUCUCAUAGCUGCAGUUAGUUACUACUGCGCCCGAGGCAAGCCCAGAAAAUUGCAGGGAAAAGUGGGGGAAGAAUCCUGCACCACCCAUCUUCUCCUGAUUAGAUCUCCCCCGAGGAUAACUAACAGUCCCUGCACUAGUCCUGCCUGAUUUUUGGAUAUAGGGACUCUUGGAGCUGUGACUGCCCCUAAAUAUCUUAAUCCAACUGGAGAAAUAAGUCUAAUACAUGGAUGCCUUACCUGUAUGACCUACACCUUUCAGGAUCUACUGAGAAUGUUUUGAUAUUCGAAUCUACAGGUUACCUUCAGAGGACUAGUGAAGUCCGAACCUUGACUUGUCAGAGCUGUUCUGAUGGAAUGAGUGGGAGCUACAUAAUAUAAGGCGAAACACAAGAUGUGAAGUUGAUGAAAGGAAUGGAGCUAGAAGUUGAAAGAGGAUCAGAGUUAAGUGACAAUAGCAUAUUACAGCAAUGUUGAGUUCAGGAACAGCCAGGACACAGAACCAAGCAUGGGAGACGAUGGACAGAAUAAGAAUAAAACCAGUGGAGCCAAGAGUUUUACCUGUAGUCAGAGCCAUGGAAAUAAAGGCUAUAAAAAGACAUGAGGGUUAUAACUGAUACCCAGAAAGGUAAUAAAUGGGCUUUCAACUACCGUUCUUCAUUUGCUCCAAAUUUGCUAAAAUUAUUUGCCACUUAGGCUC